UCUCAGUUCGGAUUGUAGUCUGCAACUCGACUACAUGAAGCUGGAAUCGCUAGUAAUCGCGAAUCAGAAUGUCGCGGUGAAUACGUUCCCGGGUCUUGUACACACCGCCCGUCACACCAUGGGAGUUGGGAAUGCCCGGAGCCGGUGACCUAACCGAAAGGGAGGAGCCGUCGAAGGCAGGCUUGAUAACUGGGGUGAAGUCGUAACAAGGUAUC
rnacentral:rRNA from 1 species